AGGAAUGCAAGAUGCUGCCUCUGAGGUGUCAGCAUGCAGAAGUAUUCUGAUCACCAUUGGCCGCAGCUCCAUCUUCUUCCUCCUUCUCGUCUUGGCCUUCCUUGGCUAUUGCUACACUCAGGCUGUGCCUGUUCACCAAGUCUCAUGAAGAGCCCCCUAUACCCAAGUUUGAAGACCCCAGGAAUUGGCCUUUACCUAGUGGAGGGGCCCCAAGUGAGAAGCAAGCAGUAUCUUCUAAGCUUUUCACAGAACUCACAUUCUACGCCACUGGUCUUCCAUUGAGGCCCAAACAUAGACCUGUCCUCUUGUCCAAGGAGCAGGAAGAAACACAAAUAAUAUUAAUUUGUUCUGUGUAGAUUAUCUGGUGAAAGGAUUCCAGUUGUCUUUCUGACUUAUUUUAUAUUGACUGUGGUACAUCUGAUCUGACCACAAGCACACACCUAUGAGAGAACUACAUCCCUUCUGGCGAAGCCCAUUAAGAUCUAAAGUUGUGAAAAUGCCAUUUGGUUUUUAUUAGGUAUUACAUUAUUAUUUUAAUUUCCCCGAUAUGAGAUGUUACUCAUUCUGAACAGUUGGUUUCAUGUGGUGAAUGUGUGGGGA